rnacentral:rRNA from 1 species
CGUGUAGGCGGGAAUGUAAGUCAGAUGUGAAAUUCCAGGGCUCAACCCUGGCGCUGCAUCUGAAACUAUGUUUCUUGAGUGCUGGAGAGGAAAGCGGAAUUCCUAGUGUAGCGGUGAAAUGCGUAGAUAUUAGGAGGAACACCAGUGGCGAAGGCGGCUUUCUGGACAGUAACUGACGCUGAGGCGCGAAAGCGUGGGGAGCAAACAGGAUUAGAUACCCUGGUAGUCCACGCUGUAAACGAUGGAUACUAGGUGUAGGAGGUAUCGACCCCUUCUGUGCCGCAGUUAACACAAUAAGUAUCCCACCUGGGGAGUACGGCCGCAAGGUUGAA